rnacentral:lncRNA from 1 species
GAGAACGAGAGACGGAUGAGUAUUUAUGAUUGUAAGUAUCGCAGGAUGGAUGAACAGACACUUAUAAAAUGAAGAAACUCGUUGUUUGAAACUAUUUUGCUAGAGGCAGAAUUAAAAAAAAAUCUUAAUCAAUUACGGAUUCUUCAAAUGCGCAUCAAGUAGGGAUCUACGCCAGAUGAAGAAUUAACGCAUUUUCCAAUGUAAACUCAACAUUUCCGAGUCAGAACGGUGCGUAGGCGAUGCACGCUGUUAAUGUGAAUGGACUCCGUGUCUCUCUCCUUUUGUUAACGCUGUUUUCAUCAAAUUAGCGCAGCCCCUACUACGCUGCACCCCCCUUUUCGGACGGCCAGCAGACAGCUAAGGACCUGGGUUCUAUCUAGAAGAGAGACCGCUCUCCUGUGGUCGAAAGCCUGACCUCUCACCUCUCAUUCCCCGCUCUAGGAGAGGAUCUCAUCGGUAUGAAAGCACCAGAAACAGCUAUUUUGUAGGGAACCCGUCUGGCAGGGAAGCAGCAACAAAUCCCCGUUUUCAGACUGUGAUUUUGGGGGACGCGGGCUCGCGGUAGGGGGGAGGGGGACCUCGCGUAUCACAAUGGAAUUAGAGUUUUACAAUACGUCCCCAGUGCGCUAAGGAACACAACCUUAUUCCGUACACUACUGUACUUUACCCUCUCAGCUGAAGUCUUUUUUCCCCUUAUUUUUUUAAACCACCAAAUCCGUGAUGCCGCAUUUCGUGGGGUGAAGGUGCCGAACGCGAGGAAAAGGAGAGAGAGAAGAGAGGGAAGGACGGAGGAGAAAGAGAGAUUCGGAGAGCAUGGAUCUUGCAACGUUGUCUCUCUGUGUGCUAACUCUCACCUGGGCAAACUUGUACCAGGUGUGUGCCAACAGGCACGCGGUGCAUUGGAACAGCUCCAAUAUACAACAGACAGAGGUGGAACAGAUGGAGAGAGAGACCAGAGAGAUGGAAUGGAGGGAGAUAGAGAACCGGGUGAGAGAGGGAGCAGAACCAGAAACGGCUCUUUUCCCUGUCUGUCCAUUCUGCGUAGGGAGGGCUACACGGUGCAGGUGAAUGUGAACGACUACCUGGACAUCUACUGUCCCCACUACAAUGACAGCCAGCGCGUGGUGGGCACCGGGGAGCAGUACAUCCUCUACAUGGUCAGCUACCGUGGUUACAGGACCUGUGACCCCCAGCUGGGCUUCAAGAGGUGGGAGUGUAACCGCCCCCACGCACCAAUCAAAUUCUCAGAGAAGUUCCAGCGCUACAGCGCCUUCUCCCUGGGCUACGAGUUCCACGUGGGCCAGGAGUAUUACUACAUCUCUACACCCACUCAUCACCACGGUCGCAGCUGCCUCAGACUGAGAGUGUAUGUCUGCUGCUCCACAGUGUCUGAUGUUAAUGUAGAACCAGGACAUCCAGAAACAGACUACACACUCAGACCAGACAUCAAAAUCCAGGACAUUGAUGAUUUUAACCCUGAGAUUCCUAAACUGGAGAAGAGUGUCAGUGGAAGCAGCCCAUCCAGGGAUCGCCUACUCAUCACCAUAGCGACGCUCCUUCUCGCUGCCAUCACCAUCUCCUAGCAACGGCCAUCCCAUCAGUGUCGCCAUACCAACCAGCCAUGGAAGACGACAUUCACACAGAGCAUGAAGAGAAGACCUUUUAUGACUUUGGACAUUGGGCCUGCAUGUGUAGGGCUAGUUGCCUGUUUCUUGCACCGGAGACUGAACUGAUUGAACUUGACUGAAAUGAACUCAAUUAUUGCCUUUUUGUUCUGUCAACUGGAUUCAACCAGAUCUAGUCUGGAUCCCUUCUGUGGAACUGGAUCUAGUGGUCCUCCACCCAUGUGAUCUGGUCUGAUCUGGACCGUAGCAGCCUGGUAUGAAAAGCCAGUCUGGAUCCCGGUUUCUGAACUGGGAAGUGGGACCACCCAGUCUAAUGUGAGAGAGGGAGAGGGCGCUACAGUGCUGUAUCAGAGUAGUAAUAUGUGUCAAUACAAUGACAGCUAUAGGUUCCAGGUCAGUGGUUGUAUACAUUGUUAUACACAUUGAUACAACCUCUGGCUCAUCAUUAAACCCCCUAGAGACAUGUUUGUCCUUUAUUCAUUCAUUCCUGGAUAGCAUUAUCUCUGAUCUCAGAGGUCAGAAAAGCACACAGCAAUACUGUCAUCGAAUGCAUUGUAUUGGAUUGUACACUGAGGACCUCUCUUCCUCUCUCCUGGAAUCGGAUGGAAUGGGACUACAUACCACAGACUCUACAUCCUCUCUCCUGGAAUCGGAUGGAAUGGGACUACAUACCAAAGACUACUUCCUCUCUCCUGGAAUCGGAUGGAAUGGGACUACAUACCACAGACUCUACUUCCUCUCUCCUGGAAUCGGAUGGAAUGGGACUACAUACCACAGACUCUACUUCCUCUCUCCUGGAAUCAGAUGGAAUGGGACUACAUACCACAGACUCUCUCCUGGAAUCAGAUGGAAUGGGACUACAUACCACAGACUCUCUCCUGGAAUCAGAUGGAAUGGGACUACAUACCACAGACUCUACUUCCUCUCUCCUGGAAUCAGAUGGAAUGGGACUACAUACCACAGACUCUCUCCUGGAAUCAGAUGGAAUGGGACUACAUACCACAGACUCUACUUCCUCUCUCCUGGAAUCAGAUGGAAUGGGACUACAUACCACAGACUCUCUCCUGGAAUCAGAUGGAAUGGGACUACAUACCACAGACUCUACUUCCUCUCUCCUGGAUUCGGAUGGAAUGGGACUACAUACCACAGACUCUCUCCUGGAAUCAGAUGGAAUGGGACUACAUACCACAGACUCUCUCCUGGAAUCAGAUGGAAUGGGACUACAUACCACAGACUCUACUUCCUCUCUCCUGGAAUCAGAUGGAAUGGGACUACAUACCACAGACUCUCUCCUGGAAUCAGAUGGAAUGGGACUACAUACCACAGACUCUCUCCUGGAAUCAGAUGGAAUGGGACUACAUACCACAGACUCUACUUCCUCUCUCCUGGAAUCGGAUGGAAUGGGACUACAUACCACAGACUCUACUUCCUCUCUCCUGGAAUCAGAUGGAAUGGGACUACAUACCACAGACUACUUCCUCUCUCCUGGAAUCAGAUGGAAUGGGACUACAUACCAAAGACUACUUCCUCUCUCCUGGAAUCAGAUGGAAUGGGACUACAUACCACAGACUCUACUUCCUCUCUCCUGGAAUCAGAUGGAAUGGGACUACAUACCACAGACUACUUCCUCUCUCCUGGAAUCGGAUGGAAUGGGACUACAUACCACAGACUCUACUUCCUCUCUCCUGGAAUCGGAUGGAAUGGGACUACAUACCACAGACUCUACUUCCUCUCUCCUGGAAUCGGAUGGAAUGGGACUACAUACCACAGACUCUACUGCCUCUCUCCUGGAAUCGGAUGGAAUGGGACUACAUACCACAGACUCUACUUCCUCUCUCCUGGAAUCGGAUGGAAUGGGACUACAUACCACAGACUCUACUUCCUCUCUCCUGGAAUCAGAUGGAAUGGGACUGCAUACCACAGACUCUACUUCCUCUCUCCUGGAAUCAGAUGGAAUGGGACUACAUACCACAGACUCUACUGCCUCUCUCCUGGAAUCAGAUGGAAUGGGACUACAUACCACAGACUCUACAUCCUCUCUCCUGGAAUCGGAUGGAAUGGGACUACAUACCACAGACUCUACUUCCUCUCUCCUGGAAUCAGAUGGAAUGGGACUACAUACCACAGACUCUACUUCCUCUCUCUUGGAAUCGGAUGGAAUGGGACUACAUACCACAGACUACUUCCUCUCUCCUGGAAUCGGAUGGAAUGGGACUACAUACAGACUCUACAUGCCAAACUCUUCUGUGUAUUUUACCGUACACACUAGAACUAGAAUCACUCUGUGUGUGUGUGUGUGUGUGUGUGUGUGUGUGUGUGUGUGUGUGUGUGUGUGUGUGUACUGACAAUACACACAGCAACAUACUGUACAUGUCUUAAGUUUAAGUAACUGAACAAACCAAGUGUAUCUGAACAUAUAGACAACCCUAAAUAAACCUUGGGUUUAGGUUCUACAUACAAACCCAGUGUAUCUGGGAGGACAGGAGAACAAUGGGUUAAACUUUAUCCUACAGUCCUCUAUUGACAUGGUAUUUUCCUAAAACAGGUUUCUUUGGGAUCAUAGAAACAAUCAUUUUGGCAGUUACCCAUUGUAUAGGUACCAGAAAGUACAUAUUGUUGCCAUUACGUCUUAGUAAAUACUAGGUAAAUACUGUCUGAAGGAGGACUGUAAAAUGAAGUGUUACUGAACAAUGUGAACUGUACUGACCUGUUACCAUGGUUCUUGACUAACUCUUUUCACUAGAAACUGUCACCUUGUGGGCCAUGGUAACACCUUACCUUACUGCAAUGUGUACAGGCUGUCUACUGUAGUAGGGCAUGCAUGGCUGACUGUAGAAGCUCUGAAGAUGAUGAUGAUGAAGGUAUGGAUGGCCUAUCGGAUACAGAGCUGACGUCUGACCUAUAGGGGUCAAAGAGGUCGCACGUCUUGACCCGUGUCACAGACAUUCUAGAACUUUCACGCGUCGAGAAUGGAUUUUUCAGAUGUCUUGAACUCUGACGGAAUGAAAUGUGAUGUAAGCAUUUUUACAAACUUGAAGCUGAAUUUCCUUGUUGUGUUUGUAUUUUUUAUUUUGCUGUUGUGUAUCUUGGGGCGCUGGGAAGGGGUAAACGUUGGGAUGACUGGGCUAGAGACAUGCAGUACUGUAUAGGAUAAGGAGUUCCACUAACGUUGGGAUGACUGGGAUAGAGACAUGCAGUACUGUAUAGGAUAAGGAGUUCCACUAACGUUGGGAUGACUGGGAUAGAGACAUGCAGUACUGUAUAGGAUAAGGAGUUCCACUAACGUUGGGAUGACUGGGAUAGAGACAUGCAGUACUGUAUAGGAUAAGGAGUUCCACUAACGUGGUUUGAGAUUUACAAUUUCAAUAAGCACCGUGUUGCACCAAAUGUUUCCAGUCCGUCACAUUGGAAUGAUACUGUCAUUGAAACGUGGUGCCGGCAUGGAGGACAGUUGGCUGAGAUCAGUAUGUAUACAGUAUGUAUGGC